GACGAACGCUGGCGGCGUGCUUAACACAUGCAAGUCGAACGGAAAGGCCCUGCUUUUGUGGGGUGCUCGAGUGGCGAACGGGUGAGUAACACGUGAGUAACCUGCCCUUGACUUUGGGAUAACUUAAGGAAACUGGGGCUAAUACCGGAUAGGAGCUCCUGCUGCAUGGUGGGGGUUGGAAAGUUUCGGCGGUUGGGGAUGGACUCGCGGCUUAUCAGCUUGUUGGUGGGGUAGUGGCUUACCAAGGCUUUGACGGGUAGCCGGCCUGAGAGGGUGACCGGCCACAUUGGGACUGAGAUACGGCCCAGACUCCUACGGGAGGCAGCAGUGGGGAAUAUUGCACAAUGGGCGGAAGCCUGAUGCAGCAACGCCGCGUGCGGGAUGACGGCCUUCGGGUUGUAAACCGCUUUCGCCUGUGACGAAGCGUGAGUGACGGUAAUGGGUAAAGAAGCACCGGCUAACUACGUG
rnacentral:rRNA from 1 species